rnacentral:rRNA from 1 species
GAUGAACGCUGGCGGCGUGCUUAACACAUGCAAGUCGAACGGAAAGGCCCAAGCUUGCUUGGGUACUCGAGUGGCGAACGGGUGAGUAACACGUGGGUGAUCUGCCCUGCACUUCGGGAUAAGCCUGGGAAACUGGGUCUAAUACCGGAUAGGACGAUGGUUUGGAUGCCAUUGUGGAAAGUUUUUUCGGUGUGGGAUGAGCUCGCGGCCUAUCAGCUUGUUGGUGGGGUAAUGGCCUACCAAGGCGUCGACGGGUAGCCGGCCUGAGAGGGUGUACGGCGACACAGUGGCUGAGAGACGGCCCAGACUCCUACGGGAGGCAGCAGUGGGGGAUAUUGCACAAUGGGCGCAAGCGUGAUGCAGCGACGCCGCGUGGGGGAUGUCGGCCUUCUGGUUGUAAACUCCUUUCGCGAGGGACGAAGCGUUUUUGUGACGGUACCUGGAGAAGAAGCACCGGCUAACUACGUG